rnacentral:rRNA from 1 species
AGAGUUUGAUUAUGGCUCAGGAUGAACGCUAGCGAUAGGCCUAACACAUGCAAGUCGAGGGGCAGCACAUGAAGUAGCAAUACGGAUGGUGGCGACCGGCGCACGGGUGAGUAACGCGUAUGCAACCUGCCUACAACAGGGGAAUAACCCGUUGAAAGACGGACUAAUACCCCAUAACACAGGGAUCCCGCAUGGGAAUAUUUGUUAAAGAUUUAUCGGUUGUAGAUGGGCAAGCGUUCCAUUAGCUUGUUGGUGAGGUAACGGCUCACCAAGGCAACGAUGGAUAGGGGAACUGAGAGGUUUAUCCCCCACACUGGUACUGAGACACGGACCAGACUCCUACGGGAGGCAGCAGUGAGGAAUAUUGGUCAAUGGACGCAAGUCUGAACCAGCCACGUCGCGUGAAGGAAGACGGCCCUACGGGUUGUAAACCUCUUUUGUAAGGGAAUAAAGUGUAGUACGUGUACUAUUUUGCAUGUACCUUACGAAUAAGGAUCGGCUAACUCCGUGCCAGCAGCCGCGGUAAUACGGAGGAUCCGAGCGUUAUCCGGAUUUAUUGGGUUUAAAGGGUGCGCAGGCGGGAGAUUAAGUCGGCGGUGAAAUUUUGCAGCUCAACUGUAAAAGUGCCUUCGAAACUGGUUUCCUUGAGUGUGGAUGAAGUAGGCGGAAUUUGUGGUGUAGCGGUGAAAUGCAUAGAUAUCACGAGGAACUCCGAUUGCGCAGGCAGCUUACUAAACCAUAACUGACGCUCAGGCACGAAGGCGUGGGGAUCAAACAGGAUUAGAUACCCUGGUAGUC